UUGUAAACCUUCUUUUAGUAGGGAAGAAGCGAAAAGUGACGGUACCUGCAGAAAAAAGCACCGGCUAACUUACGUGCCAGCAGCCGCGGUAAUACGUAGGGUGCAAGCGUUGUCCGGAAUUAUUGGGCGUAAAGAGCUCGUAGGCGGUUUGUCGCGUCUGCUGUGAAAUCCCGAGGCUCAACCUCGGGCUUGCAGUGGGUACGGGCAGACUAGAGUGCGGUAGGGGAGAUUGGAAUUCCUGGUGUAGCGGUGGAAUGCGCAGAUAUCAGGAGGAACACCGAUGGCGAAGGCAGAUCUCUGGGCCGUAACUGACGCUGAGGAGCGAAAGCGUGGGGAGCGAACAGGAUUAGAUACCCUGGUAGUCCACGCCGUAAACGUUGGGCGCUAGAUGUAGGGACCUUUCCACGGUUUCUGUGUCGUAGCUAACGCAUUAAGCGCCCCGCCUGGGGAGUACGGCCGCAAGGCUAAAACUCAAAGGAAUUGACGGGGGCCCGCACAAGCGGCGGAGCAUGCGGAUUAAUUCGAUGCAACGCGAAGAACCUUACCAAGGCUUGACAUACACCGGAAACGGCCAGAGAUGGUCGCCCCCUUGUGGUCGGUGUACAGGUGGUGCAUGGUUGUCGUCAGCUCGUGUCGUGAGAUGUUGGGUUAAGUCCCGCAACGAGCGCAACCCUCGUUCUAUGUUGCCAGCGCGUUAUGGCGGGGACUCAUAGGAGACUGCCGGGGUCAACUCGGAGGAAGGUGGGGAUGACGUCAAAUCAUCAUGCCCCUUAUGUCUUGGGCUUCACGCAUGCUACAAUGGCCGGUACAAAGGGCUGCGAUACCGUAAGGUGGAGCGAAUCCCAAAAAGCCGGUCUCAGUUCGGAUUGAGGUCUGCAACUCGACCUCAUGAAGUCGGAGUCGCUAGUAUCGCAGUCAGC
rnacentral:rRNA from 1 species